rnacentral:rRNA from 1 species
GACGAACGCUGGCGGCGUGCUUAACACAUGCAAGUCGAACGGAAAGGCCCUGCUUUUGUGGGGUGCUCGAGUGGCGAACGGGUGAGUAACACGUGAGUAACCUGCCCUUGACUUUGGGAUAACUUCAGGAAACUGGGGCUAAUACCGGAUAGGAGCUCCUGCUGCAUGGUGGGGGUUGGAAAGUUUCGGCGGUUGGGGAUGGACUCGCGGCUUAUCAGCUUGUUGGUGGGGUAGUGGCUUACCAAGGCUUUGACGGGUAGCCGGCCUGAGAGGGUGACCGGCCACAUUGGGACUGAGAUACGGCCCAGACUCCUAUGGUAGGCAGCAGUGGGGAAUAUUGCACAAUGGGCGGAAGCCUGAUGCAGCAACGCCGCGUGCGGGAUGACGGCCUUCGGGUUGUAAACCGCUUUCGCCUGUGACGAAGCGUGAGUGACGGUAAUGGGUAAAGAAGCACCGGCUAACUACGUG